rnacentral:rRNA from 1 species
GUAGGCUGCAACUCGCCUACAUGAAGUCGGAAUUGCUAGUAAUCGCGGAUCAGCAUGCCGCGGUGAAUACGUUCCCGGGCCUUGUACACACCGCCCGUCACACCAUGGGAGUCGGUAACACCCGAAGCCUGUAGUCUAACCGCAAGGGAGGACGCAGUCGAAGGUGGGAUUGAUGACUGGGGUGAAGUCGUAACAAGGUAAC